UAAUGAGAAAACUUUAACAAACUCGACCAUUAUUGUUUGCAUCUCAGACUCUUCUUACAUAAACUAACACUAUUUUUGGAAAACAGCAAAUUCUUGUAGCUGCAUGGCCUACAAAUUUUAUAUUGCUUGUUUACUUUAGUACUUGAUUCUAAUAUAACUUGGAUUCCAACAGAAGUGUUGUUCUCAAAUGCUUCAUUAGGUUCAACAACUAGCAGCUUUUAGAAAGCUACCAUACAGGCAUGAAGAUGGUAGGCUGAAGAAGUUGGGAUUAUGUUGAUAUUCUAUCACACAUUGCACUGGAAUAGUUGUAAUGGAUAAUCUUUGUGAGUUUGCUGUGACAUUCAGGUCGAGAAAUGGAUGCCCGACCUGCAUGUUCAGUUAGAGUAUGUGAAGCAUUUCAUAAGAUAUCAUAUUAGCACCAUACGCAUAAAAGUAUGAAAAUGUUGAAAUUUGCCAAAAUGAGAAGACACCACAUUAGAAACCUCAGAAUAAGAGAACAAGAAAUUACCCUCUUCACCUCCUCACCAUGAUUCUUUGGAGAGAAGCUAAACAAACUUUCCUGCUUCAUUUAGGCACUCAUCACAUUAGAAAUCUUGUUUUGCUUUCCCUUUAGAAGUGUCUCACAGUGAUGGGCAAUUUCUUCAUGAGGCAAAUCAAGUGCAGUUUUAUACAUUCUUCCAACUUGAUGUUCUGCGUUCAAGACUGAUUUAUAUGCUGAUUGCCGCUUAAAAGUUUGGGGUUCUGAAAGAUCAACUCCUUUGUAGCUUUGGCGUGACCUUCUACAGAAUCUUUUUGAUGGUGGUUCCAUACAAUUGAAGAACUCGCCUUCUCUGAUCUUCACAUUCAAAUUCAUCAAGCA
rnacentral:misc_RNA from 1 species